GACAUGCAAGUGUAGGAAUCCGAAAGGUGACCGACCUUCGGGAGCGUUGCACAGGUGCUGCAUGGCUGUCGUCAGCUCGUGUCGUGAGAUGUUCGGUUAAGUCCGCUAACGAGCGCAACCCUCGUCGUGUGUUAUACGUGUCACACGAUACUGCCGGUAUCAAGCCGGAGGAAGGUGGGGAUGAUGUCAAGUCAGCAUGGCCUUUAUAUCCUGGGCUACACACACGCUACAAUGGCAGAUACAAUAGGUUGCGAAACCGCGAGGUGGAGCCAAUCCUCAAAGUCUGUCCCAGUUCAGAUUGUAGGCUGCAACUCGCCUGCAUGAAGUUGGAGUUGCUAGUAAACGCAGGUCAGCUAUACUGCGUUGAAUACGUUCCCGGGGUUU
rnacentral:rRNA from 1 species